GCACUGGUGCUUCAGUGACAGAAUUUUUGCCUUUCAUGCAGGAGGCCUGAGGUUCAAUUCCUGGCUAAUGCA
rnacentral:tRNA from 1 species